ensembl:lncRNA
UUUUCUGAAUCUCGGGCAGAUGAACUUCCCUGAAGUGUUUCCAGCUGGGCGUCGAGUGUUUGACCGACGCAUGAAACGACACGUUUGUGAGUAUUUCCUGCUGCUGGACAGGCCCAUGAAGCUCUGCUGUAAAGGCUUCCAUGUCCCAGGCUUCACCUUUACCUGCUGACCAACGGGAGGCGUGGCCAAAACAGCGAUGGGGAGUGGAGCAGCAGGUAGCAGAGAUGGAUCCAGGCCCUGGAUGACUGCUGGACACACAUGACCCACACUAGGCUGCCUUCAUCCAUCCUUUCCUCCUUCACUGAGACUCAGAGUCAGCAUGUAUGUAUUUAUCAGUGAUUUGAAUCCUUUCAUUACAGAGUGAAGUUAAAGUAGACGUGUGAACACACUAAUAAACACAAAGGGACACAACUACUACUCCAUGAUGGAAAGCUGAAGUAUUACACAGCUUUAUGAACCUCCUGUUAUCCUGGUAGACG